GUAAAUGUAGUUUAAAGAAAACAUUAGAUUGUGGUUCUAAAAAAGAGGGAUAAAACCCCCCCAUUCACC
rnacentral:tRNA from 1 species